rnacentral:lncRNA from 10 species
GAUGGGCACAUGGACCGAGGUCCUGGGAAGCCGCCUGCUCCCACUUGCAUCCUGCCUGUUACUCUCGUCACCCAGACGCUGUUCACCCAGGCUCUGCAGCAGGCGCUGGGCUGGAUGGUCUACCGUGUAAACGAGGGGAUUUCCCAUCCCACGGGCUGCUUGAGGAGCAGCAGCCUCACAGAAUGGCCAUGCACAGAGUGCAGGGCGGCAGGACGGGAAGGCCCUGCCUGGAGUCAGGCACACGAGUGCCACAGUAGUGGCAUGAUUUUGCCCACCUGAGACUCAAGGACUGGGACACCUGUCCCUCCUCCUCCACCCACGCUGCGGGGAACUGCAUGGCUCCUCCGGGCGGGGACCAUAGCUUUCCGCCUCAACGUACCUGGGGCUCGGCAUGCUGCGUUGAAUUUUGGAGUGGAUGAGGAGUGAGGGUGUGGCAGGGCGGCUGGAGCUGCCCAACUGCUGAAACUGCUGCAGGUGCCACAGCGGCUGGCUCCCUGAAAGCGUCCUCCUGCCUCUGAGACCGUAGCGCAGGAGGGUGCGAGUGCACCUCCGCAAGGCCUGACGCUGCUGAUCCACUUCCUCUCCCCACGAUGGGGACACACUUGGCGACAGUUCCAUCUGGGGAAGAGACCCAGCCGGAACCCAGGGAAGAGCAGGCUGUGAAAACUGGGCAGAAACUUGCGGCGACUCGGAAGACACUGCCAGGAAACCCUCCCCGGGCCUCCUGUGGGGCUUGUAGCAGCCGCAGGGGUUGGCUCUCACCUUCUAGUCCCAGCCAGGUUGUCUUGGAGUCAGCUAAUGGGCAAGGCCCCUACCUCUCUUAGGAUCUGAGGAUGGGAGGGGCUGCGUUUUUCCAGAGGAUCUGCACGUGUGCAGGCUGAGUGUUGAGACUUGAUUGGUGUCAACUGGCACUGCCUGCCCAUGAUGCACAAAAGCUACUGUAAGAAACAGGGUCCAUGUCUCCAGGGAGCAGGACCCCGUUCUGAGGCCACAACCCCGAGGGCAGUCUCCGCCUGCAGAGUCCUCCCUCUCGCACCGGCUCACCUCGUGGUGAAUCCCUUGGCUACGGUUUGGUGUGAGAAAAGAGAUGGGUGUUUCACUCCCUGCUGCAUCCCUGGUGACGGCCCUGGCAUUUCGGGGCAUGAGAUCUUUGCUUAAAGGUUUUGCGGUGGUCACUGCACAGGGGGUGGGGGUGGGGUCCCUUGGUGCAAUUUAUCCGAUUCUGCUGCGUGGAUGACAUCCACAGUGUUCCUCUCCAGUGGGGAUUAUCUGAGACCUUUCCGCAUGCCCGCACCCACAGUCCGCUCCCUCACGGCAGCAUGAACUCAGGAGGCGGGCGUUCCCACAGUCAUUACAUUUGCAGGGCCUCUCUAUGUCCACUCUGAUGCCUGAGGACCAGCGCUUCCACGAAGGUGUGGCCACGUCCAGUGCUGCUCAUUGGCUUCUCUCCUGCGGGAAUGUUCUGAUCCCGAACGGAGCCUGAGCAUGCGCGAAACCCUUCCCACGUUCACAAGGUGCUUCUCCAGUGUUCCAUUACAUCUCACCUAUGCACACUACAUGCAUACGGUUUCCACCGGCUGUGCGUGUCCCUAGAAGUCACAUUCACGGCGUUUCUCCCUGGGAGGAAUUCUCCCGUGCAUGGCUGCUCUGAGACCAUUUGCACCUGCGGCCACGCGUGGGCUCCUCGAGGCUUACAAACCAGGCUGGACUCCUGAAGCCCUAGCUGCACUUGGCACUCGGCGAGGUUUUUCUACAAAAUCUCAUCUCAGCCAUCUGAGUCCUUCACCAUUUAUCUUAUGAAUCCGCUCGAACGUACAAGGAAGGCCUCUCUGCCCUCCUGCUCCAGGGAGGAGGUUUUGACCCUCAGCUCCACCUCUGCGGCUGGCCCGGUCUCCGCAAACCUUUUUCUGCUUGGCCAGCUGGUGCCAUGCUAGGCUUUCCCACUAGGGGCGCCAGAGAAAGCGCGCGAGGCUGCGGAGGAGAGAGGGGCACACUCUUUCCGGUUUGCUUCCGGUUUUUUCCUCAGGCUUCCGGUCUGUUUGGUGCCCUGGUCGCGUGUCUUCCGAACUCUGCUGCUUCGCCCCGGCAAGAGCACUUCCUUCCGCGGCUGCUAAAACUGGUGCGCGGGUUCCCAACUUCGCAGAAGAGCUUCAUCGGCCCCCCGCUAGAGACCUCAGACCGCAGCCAUCGACGCCUCGCCUCGGGGAUCUGUCCCCACCCUCGGGGCCAGCUCACCAUGAGUCAGGCCCUGUGCUAGGUGCUGGGAUGAAGCAGUGACUGACACAGGCCUGGACCUGUCCUUGGGAAGAGUGCGUCUGUGACACAGAUACUGUGCCAUGUGGCAAAACUUGAAUGGAGACAUCAGCUCUUUGUGGGUCUCAAGUCUACUGGCUUUCAAUCAGCUCUUCUGCUUGACAGCUGCAGGUCUUGGGACUGCCCAGCCCCCAUAACCCUGUGAGUGCAUUCCUGAUAAUAACCCUCUUUCUCUUGUCCUCCCCCACCCCACAUCAUUGGUUCUGUUUCUCUGGAGAACCAUAAUACAUCAUUUACUAAUCAGGAAAUAGAUUCAGAGACAUUAAUAACUCAUCCAACCUCACAGUUAACUGUAGAGUUGGGCUUGAAAUUCCAAGGUCGAUUUUCUUAGCCAAUACACCAUGCUACAUAUAUGUAUGUAAAAAUAAAAACGCUUGUGAACUGAAAAGGGUCCAAACUUAAGCUCAUUUUGGUCCUUAAUUGCUAAUCCAUAGGCAUGUUUUGGUCCUUAAUUGCUAAUCCAUAAGCAUGUUUCGGUCCUUAUUUGCUAAUCCAUAGGCCUGCACACCUGCCCCCAAGGCCAUGG